GACGAACGCUGGCGGCGUGCCUAACACAUGCAAGUCGAACGAGCGAGAGAGAGCUUGCUUUCUUGAGCGAGUGGCGAACGGGUGAGUAUCGCGUGAGGAACCUGCCUCAUAGAGGGGGACACAAGUUGGAAACGACUGCUAAUACAGCAUAUGACAACGUCAAGGCCUCGGGUUGAGGGAAAAGGAGCAAUCUGCUUUGGGAUGGCCUCGCGUCCGAUUAGCUUGUUGGUGAGGUAACGGACCACCAAGGCGACGAUCGGUAGCCGGGCAGAGCGGUUGAACGGACACACUGGGGGUGGGACACGGCGGAGACUCUUAGGGAAGGCAGCAAUGGGGAAUAUUGCACGAUGGGGGAAAGCCUGAUGUAGUGACGCCGCGAGAAGGAAGAAGGUCUGAAGAAUGUAAGUUCGUGUUGUAGGCGAAGAUAAUGACGGUACUCAACAAGAAAGUGACGGCUAACUACGUG
rnacentral:rRNA from 1 species